GUAAACUCGUCGCAAAGCCCAGAUACAGCCACGUGUGUUUGUCUUAUUCGCUUUGUUGUACGGUGGGACCUUUGCGACGAAUUUACGACGGAUUCGUCGUAAAUUCGUCGUAAUGUUUACGUCGAAUUUACGACGAAUAUAAAUUCUAUAUAUAGGACCUCACCCCUUCCUCAUUUCGUCGCUCAUCUCUCCUUCCUCUCUCUCU
rnacentral:lncRNA from 1 species